ACAUACUAGAACUUUCCAGAGAUGGAUUGGUGCCUUUCGGGAACUUUAGAUACAGGUGCUGCAUGGCUGUCGUCAGCUCGUGUCGUGAGAUGGUUUGGGUUUAAGUCCCGCAACGAGCGCAACCCUUUUUCCUUAUUUUGCCAGCGGGUAAUGCCGGGAACUUUAAGGAUACUGCCAGUGACAAACUGGAGGAAGGCGGGGACGACGUCAAGUCAUCAUGGCCCUUACGGCCAGGGCUACACACGUGCUACAAUGGUCGGUACAAAGGGUUGCUACCUCGCGAGAGGAUGCUAAUCUCAAAAAGCCGAUCGUAGUCCGGAUCGCAGUCUGCAACUCGACUGCGUGAAGUCGGAAUCGCUAGUAAUCGCGGAUCAGAAUGCCGCGGUGAAUACGUUCCCGGGCCUUGUACACACCGCCCGUCACACCAUGGGAGUUUGUUGCACCAGAAGUAGGUAGUCUAACCGCAAGGAGGACGCUUACCACGGUGUGGCCGAUGACUGGGGUGAAGUCGUAACAAGGUAAGCGUAGAUGA
rnacentral:rRNA from 1 species